rnacentral:lncRNA from 1 species
GCUCGUCUAACACGUGGGACCACUGGACUGGCUCCUUUUAAAAUGAAGUGGCGUAGUGACAUGUAUGACAAAGUCUGUCUUCUAUGGAGGGAUAUCAUGUUUGAUCAACAGCUUUCUGCUGACACGGCAGUCACCAUGACAGGAGGACCAAACCUGUCCUCAGCCUCAAUGUGGAAAUGAAACUGAAGCUGUAACUCAAGACGUUCAAGCGUGCCCAGGAGAGACAGGAAUGGACCUGGGAGGAGAUACUGGACGGGAAAGGACCCUGGAGUCAGGCCGGGGAUUAUCGCCGUCCUAAGGAGGAGAUUGAGGCAGCGAAGGCGGAGUGGCGCUAUUAUGAGGCACUAUACCAACCACGAGGCAAGUGCGAGAGGCAGCCCCCAAAAUGUUUUUGGGGGGGCACACGGGGAGAUUGGCAGAAUCAGGGUGGAGACCUGAGCCAACUUCCCGUGCUUACCGUGGAGAGCCGAGGGGUGAACCAGAACCAGUCAGGGAGUUGAGUGAGGAGCUCGACGCAAGAGUCCGGCGAGAGGUGCUGGCAUGGAGAGCGCUGAGGAGCGGGCGUGCUGAGGAGCGUGACAUCAGUCCAGUGCGUCCUGUGCUACCUCCCCGCACUCGCCCUGAUGUGCGCGUCAUCAACCCGGUUCCACCUGUACCGGUCCCACGCAUCAGGCCUCCAGUGCGCCUCCUCAGUACAGUACGUCCUGUGCCUCCUCUCCACACUCGCCCUGAGGUGCGUGUUACCAGUCUGAUGGCACCAGUGCAAGCCCCACGCAUCGGGCCUCCAGUGAGCAUUCCCAGUCCGGAGCUUCCGGCGACAGUUCCCAGUCCGGAGCUUCCUGAGACGGCCUGCAGCCCGGAACCUCCUGAGACGGCCUGCAGCCCGGAACCUCCUGAGACGGCCUGCAGCCCGGAACCUCCAGCGGCGAUCCACGGUCCAGUGACACAGAAGCAGAUGGAUCAGAGGGCGGAGCGGGGGUUACGCCCCGAACCAGAGCCGCCUCCUCUGUUGGAGGAUCCGCGGGAUAAGAAGGUUAUGUGUACUGCACCAGAGCCGCCAUAGACAGUAGUUACCCACCCUACCCUCCCUUUUGUCUUGUUUUUUUUUGGGGGGGGGGGGUUUGUUGUGUUUUUGUUUAGGUGCGGUCGGAGUCCACACCUUUGGGGGGGUACUGUCACGUCUUG